AUGCUCGCUCUGGCAGCACAUACACUAAACUGGAACAAGACAGGGAUUAGCAUGGCCCCUGCACAAAGAUGACACGCAAAUUCGUGAAGCGUUCCGUAAUUUA